GCAUGUUUUUGUUUCAUUUUUUUAUCUAUUUCUAUUGGGUAUUUUGACUUUUUCAGGAAGAGGAAUGUCUGCGACUAAGUCAAGGGCCACUGGAUAAGGGUUGUUGAUGGCAAAACAGGUUGGAGACUACAUAAGACUUUGACAGUUGGCGGGAAACCAUCUUCAACUGGAGAGAUGCCGGAAGAGGAAUGUCUGCGACUAAGUCAAGGGCCACUGGAUAAGGGUUGUUGAUGGCAAAACAGGUUGGAGACUACAUAAGACUUUGACAGUUGGCGGGAAACCAUCUUCAACUGGAGAGAUGCCGGUAAAAAGAUGGCCAUAAAACAGUGACCGCUGAUUCGCAUUGAGUUCUUUCUUACAUAUUGGAUGACCUAUGUUUUUUAUUGUUUAAAUCAUUGCGGCUUGGAAUGCUCUUUAAGAAAAGGUAUGGUUAUGGGGGUGUCUACGCGCAAAAGUUUGACUUUAUUUUUUGUUAAAGUUAUUGCUUUUACAUUGAAUUUGUGCAGGAAAUCUUUUGGUAUGUUGUGACC